UAAAAUGAGCAUGCUGAGUGAACUUCGACCUAGUUACCGAGAUGUGUCGGCACUGAAUGUGUUAGCCUCUGAAGACGAUUCUUCCAUUGGCGCCACACAAAGUGACUAGUUCGAGAGAAAGCAGACUACGAAUUGCUCGAAGGAUUUCAAAAUCUUCUGGUCCCAUACAGUAGAUAUGUAGUUCUAAUUCCUUGAGAUUCCCAAGUGAGCUAAUCCAGUUUUGCACCUUGUCGAUGUGGAGCUUCUGGAGGCUACAGAGAGCGGUGUGGCAUCAUGAAUCCAUUGACAUUGGCUGACACCAUGGGAAAUCAUCAUGCCAGUCAUGAAUACAUAGAUGAUGAAGAGACUUCCCUACUUUAAAGAGCAGACUUCCCUACGUUGCAACUCAUGGGCUACUCAAUUGGAUUUUGACAUCUAAAUUAAAACUUUCAUCCCAUAUUACCUUUGUAAUUAUAAUUAAGUGGGAUUACUAGAUCUCCACCUUUGAUUUGCUUUGAAAUGUGGGCAGCUUUUGAAAAGAGGAGCACCGGAGCACAACACUUAGUGUGCAUUUGCUACUCACUUCUAUUCGGUAAAAGGUUGCGCUGUAACAAGGCAUUUCGAUGGCUAAUAUUUUUAAGCCUUUUUCUCCGCGUUAUAUAUCCUGAAAGGAAAAUAACCAUCAGUACUGGAAAUGACUGGAGCCGUGAGGCUGAAAACCACAAUCCUGCAACUGCAAAGACAUCCAUCUAUAUUGACAGUCCACAGGUGUGGUAAACUCUUUAGCAAAGCAAGGAGGCGACAUCAUGGCUCUUUAGUGCCUGAAGCAGGGAGGUGGACUGUUAGGACUUAGGAGCCUGCAUAUGGUAUUAGUCAGAAUCAAAUAGAUCGAUGAAGUGUGGAGAAAGAAUUGAAAUAAGUUAUUUGUUCUAUUAUAUUGUAUCGAAUUGUUUAGGCAUCAAACAACAUUUGGUUUGUCAACUUAAUUGAUGUCUGCAGCCAUAUGUGGCCACUAAAUUUGGUUUAUGAAGUUC